GUGUGCCUGCUGUUGAGUAAGGGGCAUUCUUGUGUUGUAGACCAAGAAAAACUACAGAGGAAGUGCAAGUCUGGUUAUUCAUUGUGGAUGCUAAUCUGAAUGUUCUCAAUGUGGUUAUUGUUAGAAGAAGAAGAGGAGGAGGAGGAGGAGGAGGAGGAAGAGGAAGAACAACUCCUGGACUGACAGAUAACUAUGGUGCCUUGGCAGCUGGGGCUGGAAGAAGCUAGCAGAAUCUGAAAGGUUUUCAAUCUCUCUAAAGUUGAUGUCUGCCGAUAUGUUGUCAGAAAGCCCUUCAAGAAGUGACACUUGUGUGCUCCUGGCAAGACCAAUUUACUUCAGAGAAGAUGAUGGGCAUCAAAGAAAUUCUGUAUGGAGUUUGCUUUCUUUAUGGAAAAAGCUAGCCAUUUGGGCAAAGAAACUGUCCUUGCCUCAACUGCUGACAGAGCUCAGAGGAGGGCUGGGGUGGAAGACAGCAGGAUGUAAAAAAAGCAACUGAUAAACAAGGAUAAUGCUUUGUGAACUGAGGUCCCGGAGAAGCAGAACCUACGUUCAAGAUCCUGGCAAUGGCUGACCUUGGCUGAGAGCAUGUUGACUUUGGAGAUGGAAAGCUAAGAUCUUCCUGCCGCUACCUCUCACAGACUUCAAUUACACGUGUGGGCCACCACUAGAAGAUGUGGCCUUGUUGGAGUGGAUAUGGCCUUGCUGGAGGAAGUGUGUCACUGUGGAAGUGGGUUUUGAGGUUUCCUAUGCACAGGAUACCACCCAGUGUCUCAGACAACUUCCUCUUGCCCACAGGAUGUACAACUCCGAGUUAUUCCUCCAUGCGUGCUGCAAUGCUCCUUGCCAUGAUGAUAACAGACUGAACCUCUGAAAGUGUAAGCCAGUCCCCUCAAUUAAAUGUUUUCCUUAUAAGAGUUGCUGUCGCCAGGCGGUGGUGGCGCA